ACCUCCCUCUGCCCUCUGCCCACCUCCCGCUGCCCACCGCCCGCUGCCCACCGCCCGCUGCCUGUCUCUCACCGCUGAUGCUGAAGCCCAUGGCAUCCUGGAUCUGCUGCAGGGUUCUCCCGGCCGUGGUCAGCUGCAGCAUGGCCAUCACCGAGGACACGCCAUACGGCGAGAAGACCACGUUGCGGUCCCCGGAGGCCUGGAGCACGCGCCGGAACACCUUCACUCCGAAGUCGGUGGCCUGGCGCGCCGUGCGGAGCUCUCGGCGGCGGAGAGCCGAGCCUUCCCCGCAGGCCAGGGCCAGGCCCAGGGCGAGGCAAGCGAGGGCUGGAGCCGGCUGCAUCCUACGCAGACGGCGGGGCCCUGGGAGGGCAGAGGCUGAAGGCUUUGACAGUUCUAUUCUGGGACCCGCGGUGGAGGGCGCCGGCCCCUGAAAGUUGACCUCUCGUUUCACCCUGACCUCUGAGGCGCGAAGGCGCCCGCGCACAGGUAGGAAUGCAGUUCUCAAGUUUGCUUUUUCUUUUUUAAAGCAAAGCUCCUUUGCUAAAUUGGUGAAGGGGCGGUUGUCUGGAGAGGGCCUGGGAGACGGUGCGUUUGCUCCUGACACAGGGCCCCAAGUGAGGUGUGACCAUCCUUCCCACCGCCCGGUCCUGGAUGGCCGGUGGAAGAGAGAGGAGGGGAGGGGAGGAGGGCGGUGGCCGGGACUUCCGGGGAGGAAUGUGCUCCCCGGCCCUCACCUGGAGCUUUCUGGGUGCCUCAGCUGUGGUGGGCUCCUCAGCUGUGGUGAGCUCCUCGCCUGUGUCGGCUGCGCUCGGCUGCGUCCUGUGGGCGUCGGGCAGCUGCUCCAGCUGUGGGCUCUGCUCCGUGCUCCGCCUGGCUGCAGCUGCUCCAGCUGUGCUCCGCUCGGCCGCAGCCCGGCUUUAUACCGGACGCCGGCAGGAAACAGAUGAACUCAUGCCCCGCUCCACCCACUCUUAACUCUGGACCGUGGGCCCGGCCCCCCUCCGCUCCCCCCCAGACUUGCUGGGACGGGUGUGCACAUACAUGUGAGACAGGGCCCAGGGGUAAUUGAGCAAACCCGGUUGCCUGGGUUGGAAUGUCCCUGAGAGGGCUGGUCUGUGUGACCCCUGUGAGUGCCUGGGACCCCGAUGCUCGCUCAGCCUCCUUGACCCCCGUUUAACCCUUUCCCUCAGGCGCCUGCUCGGACGCCCUGGGCUGCCUCCAGGGAAGCCGGCCUGGCCUUCUGGGCCUCUGCCCGGGGGCCGCAGGGCAUGGAAUGUGCCCUGUGGCCGUCUGCGAUCUAGCUCCGCCUGGCCUCCAGCCCGGCGGAGAAGUCCAGUCUCCUCUCCUCCACGUGCCUGCCCGGCUGAGUCCGGGU
rnacentral:lncRNA from 1 species